UACGGAGGGGGCAAGCGUUAUCCGGAUUUACUGGGUGUAAAGGGAGCGUAGACGGCGAUGCAAGCCAGAUAUGAAAGCCCGGGGCUCAACCCCGGGACUGCAUUUGGAACUGUAUAGCUAGAGUGUCGGAGAGGCAGGCGGAAUUCCUAGUGUAGCGGUGAAAUGCGUAGAUAUUAGGAGGAACACCAGUGGCGAAGGCGGCUUGCUGGACGAAAACUGACGUUGAGGCUCGAAAGCGUGGGGAGCAAACAGG
rnacentral:rRNA from 1 species